AGUGAACGCUGGCGGUAGGCCUAACACAUGCAAGUCGAACGGCAGCACAGUAAGAGCUUGCUCUUACGGGUGGCGAGUGGCGGACGGGUGAGGAAUACAUCGGAAUCUACUUUUUCGUGGGGGAUAACGUAGGGAAACUUACGCUAAUACCGCAUACGACCUACGGGUGAAAGCAGGGGAUCUUCGGACCUUGCGCGAUUGAAUGAGCCGAUGUCGGAUUAGCUAGUUGGCGGGGUAAAGGCCCACCAAGGCGACGAUCCGUAGCUGGUCUGAGAGGAUGAUCAGCCACACUGGAACUGAGACACGGUCCAGACUCCUACGGGAGGCAGCAGUGGGGAAUAUUGGACAAUGGGCGCAAGCCUGAUCCAGCCAUACCGCGUGGGUGAAGAAGGCCUUCGGGUUGUAAAGCCCUUUUGGCGGGGAAGAAAAGCAGCAAGUUAAUACCCCGCUGUUCUGACGGUACCCAAAGAAUAAGCACCGGCUAACUUCGUG
rnacentral:rRNA from 1 species